UAACUGAAUAUAAUAUUGAAGAUAUUAAGGUGGUAAAAUUUACUUUAAAAUAUUAAUAAAAAUUAUUU
rnacentral:tRNA from 1 species